CCCUAAUUGGUGAAGAUCACCCCGAGCCCCUAUCGCAAUCUCCUCUCUCGACUCUCUUUCUCAGUUUCUAGUCACUCUCUCCCACGAGCUCAAGAUCUCGUCAGGCUCUCCGUUCCCUGCACUCGCUUCGCCGGCGGCAGAAGCAAACGGAACCGCAUCUGGUCCCUCGGGUGGUGGUGGUGGUCGUCUUCUUGCUUCACACAGUCUCUGUCUCGCACCUGGUCUCGAUCUCUCCCUUCCCUGCGCCCUUCGUCGCCGGUAGCAGAGGCAACAGAUCCCGGUGGGCUGGUCUUCGUUGUCGUCUUCUUGCUUCGAGCCUUGCCGUCAGCUCCUCCUUCGCCAUCAGCUCCUCCUUCGCCGUCAGCUUCCUUCGUGCAACCUGAUUUGUAUGAUCGGGUCAACCGAGUUAAUUAGCGACCUACCGGUUGAACCAGUGAUCCGGUGACUCCGACCGGGCCAAUUACUAGUUCGGUUCUGAUAACUAGUGAUGUUUCCAUUUAUCAUUUCCCAGUCUCCCCCAUUGUUCUGUCCUGAUCCUUUCUCAACAACUAUGGCAACCGGGCUGCUGAGGAGAUCCCUGUCUAGGGUUCCGUCAUCCCCGGCUUCCAAGCUGGCCCUAAUCCGGGCCCACGCAUCAGAGCCUGAAGCCCAGCAGGUCGAUGCCAAGGCCCGCGGCACCUCCACGGUGAAGACGUUCCAAAUCUACCGUUGGAAUCCGGACAGCCCGUCGAAGCCAGAGCUGAAGAACUACGAAAUCAACCUGAAGGAGUGCGGGCCCAUGGUGCUCGAUGCCCUCAUCAAAAUCAAGAACGAGAUCGACCCAACCCUCACGUUCCGCAGGUCGUGCCGGGAGGGGAUCUGUGGUUCUUGCGCGAUGAACAUCGAUGGUUGCAACGGCCUCGCAUGCCUAACGAAGAUCCCUUCGUCCAGCGCGUCGACAAUCACGCCGCUGCCGCAUAUGUUCGUGAUAAAGGAUUUGGUGGUAGAUAUGACUAAUUUCUAUAACCAGUACAUGAGCAUCGAGCCGUGGCUGAAGAGGAAGAACCCACCGACGGUGCCCGGGAAGGAAAUCCUUCAGAGCAAGAAGGACCGCUCCAAGCUUGAUGGGAUGUAUGAGUGUAUACUGUGUGCCUGCUGUAGCACAUCCUGCCCUAGUUACUGGUGGAACCCUGAAUCUUAUUUGGGACCUGCUGCGUUGCUCCACGCUAACAGUGCUGUACAUAUUUAUCAUGAGCUUUGGUAUGAUAAUUGCACAUAAUGCAUGCACAAACUUAUCGUCAUGCCCCACGAAUUAUUAGCUCCCUGCUUUUCUUCUCGUUUGCGUAAGAGGUGGAUAAGUGACAGUCGUGACGAGUACACUCAGGAGAGAUUGGAGGCCAUUAAUGAUGAAUUCAAGCUCUAUCGCUGCCACACCAUAUUGAAUUGUGCUCGCGCCUGCCCAAAGGGUUUGAAUCCCGGAAAGCAAAUCCAACAUAUCAAGUCACUUCAGCCCAAAGCUUGAGAUUCUAAUUUUUAGAGGCAUGAUGGCGUUUGCAUUUGAUCAUUGAUGCUGGGGUUUUGUUUUUCCUUCAUAUGCGGGGAUAAAAUAGCUUUUCUCUUAAUAAAAAGCUGAGCCCCCCUUUUGUAAAACUUGUGUUUUUUGUUUUGGAAUAAAUAUCAAUAGCCAAUUGGACACCAAA